GGAGCACAGGUGAAGGCAAUUCAGCUGUGUGAUAGGAAGGGAUGGAGCCUGGCUGCACCUCUCUUAGGCCUCAUUGAAGGGCUGACUGCCCCUGGGGAAAGGUGUCUGGUUGGAGAUCCCUUGCUGGUGAUGCUUUCCCCUGUGAACCUGGAAUCUUCUAAUACAGGAGAUGUUGUGCACGCAGAAACAAGAGAGCUCUUGGGAGCACCUAAUUGAGUCAGAAAGGAACGGGAAGCAGUGAUGUAACGAAAAGCCAGUGCAGAAUGGAGCAAAAAGCAGCAGCUUCUACAGACCCAUUCCUUCCGUGCUGCAUGAGAUGCUCCUUCCUCACAAAUAAUCUGGGUGCUGCUGAAGGCUGGAAGCUGCAGAGCUGUUGUCUAGAAGAGCUCGUGGUACGUUUUCAGUUUGUGGUGACUGUUUCCAUAUCUCCCCAAAUAAAAGGGUUAUGAAGUACUGAGUGGAUACUCUGUUUUUUCUGUCUUCUAAAGGAUCUUACUUUUCUUUCUUGCAUGUGCGUGGAAGUGUUUACACCAGAGUACAAUCAAAAUAGCCAACUGCAAAGAUGUGUUGAAGUCAAGCUCACAGCUGGUUUUAUUCACAAUUACACCUUUUGCAACAAGAGAGAUGAUAUUUCUAGAAAAGGAGGAAUGUAUAUUGAAAGGAGAAGAGUUAGAAGGUAACUGGAGCCAAACAGUAGAAACCCACAAGAGCUGCACUGGUUCAGGCGUUGUGUGGUCAGUGGUCACCGACCACAAGAUAUGUAUUUUUCAUUCCUCUUUAUUGUAGCAGAAUUUGAACACGACUUAAGGAAAAAACUAAGGUUUCUUGGGGCUUUAGGUACAAAACCUUUGUGUGGUCUUUUUCUGUAAGACAAAAUGAAGAAGAAUUUAGAAUUAAAGUUCAAUUAAAAAUAAAUAAAC